rnacentral:rRNA from 1 species
UACGAAGGGGGCUAGCGUUGUUCGGAAUUACUGGACGUAAAGCGCACGUAGGCGGAUACUUAAGUCAGGGGUGAAAUCCCGGGGCUCAACCCCGGAACUGCCUUUGAUACUGGGUAUCUCGAGUCCGGAAGAGGUGAGUGGAAUUCCGAGUGUAGAGGUGAAAUUCGUAGAUAUUCGGAGGAACACCAGUGGCGAAGGCGGCUCACUGGUCCGGUACUGACGCUGAGGUGCGAAAGCGUGGGGAGCAAACAGG